CUCUCAUUUUCUUCUCCCAUCUCUCUUAUCUUUUUCUCUCAUCAGAAUCUCUUCUUCGCUGUUAACGCAUAACAAACGAGCUUUCACGGCCGUCGUGGACCGACCCGAAAAUCGGAAUCCGAAGUGGCGGCUCGGGUUAACGCCUUGGGACUUUGUGCCUCUCAUCGUCGCGGCAUGGACUUCGAAUCUGGAUACGGGAUUUUAGCGGUGCUAGGGUUCUUGGAGCAUUGAGGGACCUGAACUAACUGCUGUGGAUUUGGGCGGCGAAUUAGGGUUAGGGUUUCUGGUUGGGAGCAUUGCUUGGGAGGAUUGAAGAGUUGAUUUCUAGGGUUUUGGUUGGUGAAUUGGGGAGGGGGGAAGAUUGGCGACGGGUAGAGGAUAAUGUGUAUACUUUGUGUGAUUCAGAAGUGGUCUCGCCGGGUAGCUACGAUGCUUCCUUGGUUAGUUAUUCCAUUAAUAGGACUAUGGGCUCUCUCUCAGCUUCUACCGCCGGCUUUUCGAUUCGAGAUUACUUCGCCCAGGCUCGCCUGUGUUUUUGUGCUCCUGGUUACUCUCUUUUGGUACGAGAUUUUGAUGCCCCAGCUCUCGGCGUGGAGGGUGCGGCGCAAUGCCAGGCUUAGGGAGAGGAAGAGGUUUGAGGCUAUAGAGUUGCAGAAGCUGAGGAAAACAGCAACGAGGCGGUGCAGGAAUUGCUUGACUCCGUAUAGGGAUCAGAAUCCUGGCGGUGGUCGGUUUAUGUGUUCGUAUUGUGGCCAUAUUUCUAAGAGGCCGGUUUUGGACUUACCUGUGCUCCCUGGGAUGGGACUUUCGAAUUCGGGGAUUAUCAGGGAUUUGGUUGGAAAGGGCGGAAAGAUAUUGAAUGGGAAGGUGUGGUCUGAGAAUGGGUGGAUGUGUGGUCAAGAUUGGUUGGAGAAUGGCAAUUGGGUUAGUGGUUCUAUAGGUGGGAAAUCUAGUUACUGGAAGAAGGAUGGGAGUAGUGUUUUUGGGGGGGAUGAGAAUUGUUUGGCAGAGAAGUCUUAUUCAGGUGUCGUUAUUUUUGCCUGCAAGCUACUGACCUCAUUUUUCUUGAGUGUUAGAUGGCUUUGGAGAAAGAUUUUUAGGAUUAGUACAUCAGGAGAUGAUGCUGCAUCUGAUGCAGAGCAUAAAGCAAUGUUGGCCAAGAGGGGUGAGAAUGGGGUCAACUUUCAAGAGAGUAGAGGAGAAAAGGCACGCAGAAAAGCUGAAGAAAAGAGACAAGCUAGGAUAGAGAAGGAGCUCUUAGAGGAGGAAGAGAGAAAACAAAGGGAGGAAGUUGCAAGGUUGGUGGAGGAACGCAGGAGACUUAGGGAUGAGAAAAAGGAAGCUGAAAGAGGAGAUCGUGGGAAAACAUCGCCACCUGUGAGGGAGAAAGAUAGUAAGAAGGAAGCAGAAAAGAAACGUCAGGAUAGAAGGAAAGAUAAAGACAAGGGUUCUAGCAAGAGCAAUUCUGAUGCAGAAGAGUUGGAAAAGAGAGCAGGUAAGGAGAGUGACCGGAAACGGGACUUUGACAAGAAGAAUGACAAUGAACGUCGGGAACUUCCGAAAUCUGGGACAGAUUUUCUCAAGGGUCAAAGCACGGAGGUGGGGUAUGGUGCAAAGAAUCUAUCUGCAAACAAUACAGUGAGGGGAAAUGCUGGAUCUAGGUACCUGGACCGCAUGAGGGGUACAAUUUUUUCUUCUUCAAAAGCAUUCAGCGGAGGUAGUUUCUUUGGAAAGGGUGCUAAUACUACAGUGACAAAAGAAACCAAAUCUAGCAUUUCCGUGGAUCACGUCCAUAGUCCUGCCCACAGGAGAGACUUAUUUCCACCUGAACGCGUAGCUGCUAGACCUUUUAUGAAUGGAGAUGAUAAGAGUAUCAGCCGCCCUAUUCAGUCUGAAUCACAGCCAGGGACAGCAAAAAAAUCAUGGCAGCAAUUAUUUACUCGUUCAUCAUCCGUUCCUGCAUCCUCGAGUGUAAAUGUAAUUAGUAGACCAAAUGCAAAGUCCCAAACAGAAGUACAAACUCCUGUGAUAUCUGGUCAACCAUCAUCAAUACAAUCUUUUGACAAUCCAAUUAAUUUUGGUCUGCCAUCACCAUUCACUAUAUCUCCCUUUCCUAAUGGAGUCACUAGCAGCAGUUUAGGCUUUUCUCCUGCAGUUGAACCCAUGUUCCCUCGCAUUGGAGAAGGGCAUCAUGAACCGAUACCUGAAGAGCCAGAGCUUUUUGAAGACCCAUGUUAUGUUCCCGAUCCAGUAUCUUUGCUUGGGCCCGUCUCCGAGUCGCUUGAUAAUUUUCAGUUAGACAUGGGGGCUGGCUUCGUGACAGAUGUGGGAUUGGAGAGGCCUCGCACAUUAAAGAAUGUAUCUGCUUCUUCUGAUCUCAACAAGCCAUCUCCAAUUGAGUCACCUUUGUCACGAGAAAAACAUAAUUGUAAUCGUGUUCCAAGUACGCCAAAGGCCCAGGAUAUGCAUUCUCCACCCCUAGAUGAUGCAAAUGCAAAUGAUAAGGGUACGUGGCAAAUGUGGAAUAGUUGUCCUCUUGGUCAGGAAGGUCUAGGUUUAUCAGGCGGCCCAGCAAGCUGGCUUUUACCUCCUGAACUGAACAGAUCCAACAAGGAUGAUCUUGUGCACCCUUCAUCUCAUAUGUCACUGUUUUCAACAGAAGAGCAGGUUGUUCCUGGCCCCCAUUCUCCUCGGCAUCAGAGCAUAUUCCUUGGUAAUGGGCAUAAUGGUGGGACAUUUAGCCCUGUGACUGGUUCAAGUGAUCAUGAUCCUUGGUUACAGAAAGCAUUUUUUCCACCAUUGUCAACCGCUGAAACCCAUUAUCCUCUCAAACCUCCAGAGGAAGCUACUAAAAAUGAAAGAUUUUUUGCGAGUCCCAGCAGAUCUACUACCAAUCAUGCGUUUGAGCUGUCUCCAGGAAAUGGCUGGUCCAACAGGAAGGAAUCGAUUGAAUGCGGUGUGCAGGGUACAGCAGGGGAAGGUGUUGGAAAGCCAUCAGUUCUGAGGCCUCAUGUCAGGGGUCCUUAUCCGCCAACCCCAGAUGUACAGUCACUUUGGUCUUAUGUUUGAAAACAGAAUGAGAAACACACCUCCUGUACACUCUAAUGGAGGCAAAUAGCCUCUUUUGGAGGAGAGUUUAGAAUACUGAAUGCAUUGUAUCUUCCUGCUCUUCUUUAUAAGGGAGAUUGAUGUUUACUUACAUUAGCUUGGAUAGGAAUACACGUGACAUGCAUGCUUUUAUGCUCUCAGCUAACUGCUAGGUAAAGGGGUUUGACAUUGAGUUCUUGGAAAGCCCUUGGCUCCUCUCUCUUUGUUAGCACCUGGCAGUUUAGCAAAAGGCAAAACUUUUUUGUCCCUUCGGGAGUAUCACUUUUCCUCUUUCCUUUUGGUUAUGGUCUUCGUCCAUUUUGAGCCCUUCUGCUGUCUGCCCUUGGAGCAAGGAAAUAUCAUAUUGCAGGCCCUCUGGUUCCUCGGAUUUCUUGUGGAGGAUAUUUAGUUUGGUUCAAUCAAUCUUUAGGUAGUUGUCAGGAGCCUUCACUGACCAUUGUAUUGUCCUUAUCCUAUUUGCGCAUUCAGUCAUGAUUGUAUUUUCUAGCUAAUACUGAUAGUGUUGCCAAUAAAAUUACACAGCCGGUAGAGGAUUAUCUCGAUGAGCA